CUCCUGACCUCGUGAUCCGCCCGUCUCGGCCUCCCAAAGUGCUGGGAUUACAGGCUUGAGCCACCACACCCGGCCUGGACUAACUCAAUUCAAGCACUCAGUAGUGGCUACUGGCUACCACAUUGGACAACUCAGACAUACUACAGGGCUUUAAUUAUCAGACACAGAGCUAAUUACUCUCAAAUCUAUAUUUAGAUAUUUGAGAGACAGCUUAAUAAAUAUGAAAGGGGUCAUAUUGUACCCCUGCUUCAACAUUAAAACAUUUAGAUUUUAAUCUAAAGUCUUUCACAAGGCCUGCCAUGACCAGGCCCAACCUGCCUCAACAGCUUUGGUUUUUAACACUCUCUACCUUGUACCCAGAAAUCCAGCCUCCACUGACUUUUUUCAGAUCCUAGACUGCCUCUGCUCUUCACCAUGUCCAGCGCUUGGCUUCUCCCCAUCCAACUCCACGGCACUUGGCUCACACCAACUCAUCCUUAAGGCCUAGCUUGGAUGGAUUCCUCUGAAAAGCCUUCUGGGACUCCCCGCCCGCCCCAGAGCCUGGGUUGGGUACCUGCUUAUCAGACAAUGAACUAUGAUCACAGUCGUGUCUUAGUGGGUGUUUGCCUGGAAGCAGACUCCAAGACAAGAAUUUGAGUCCAAGUACCAUAGAUGAUUUGGCAGGAGAUCCUAGAAAGCAUAAGUAGGGGAAGUCAGGGGUAAGUCAGGGAAGAGAAUCAAGAGGCAAGAAGAAAAAGAAUGAGAAGGGCAGAAGGGUCUCCCAUCCCAGCCCAUCUGUCACCCAGCCACGUGGGAAGCUGCUGGGACUGGCCAUUUGUGAUCAUUUUGGAUGCAGGACUCCCUCUUGCGCACCUGGGGCUGGCACCUAGGACCAGCCUUGUGCCACACUGCCCCCUGAGAUCUGGCCCUUAUGCUGAAAGUGCUAUGGGGUUGAAUGGGGAGAAGCCACCUAGUUUCUAUCUUGGAACCUGGUUUCUACCUAUAGAGUUUCUACCUUGGAGCCUAGGAUCAGCUGACAACAGAGCCAGCAAUGCCUCCCCUUCGUUUGACUGGGUCUCAACCUGGAGGGAGAAGGACUAGGCUCAGGGAGGAACACUGACCCUGCCAUGCCCCCAUCUUUCAGCUGUCCAGAAUUCAGAGUGGUUGCCGGGAUGUCCCGGCCAUGACUAUUCCUGUGCUGCUUCGGGGUGCUUAUUGCAAGGACAUGCAUGACGGGAAGGGAAGACACCCAGGAAAAUGCUUUCCAGGGACUCCACCUGGCUCGAUGCAUGGAGAUCCAAUAUGGAGCACCACUUUUGGGCAGAGUCCUCAUGCUGUGUCAACUCACAGGUCACUGGCCUCAUGUCCAGUCUAUAAAUGGAAGUCUUUGGAGGAAUUUCUAAUUUCUGCACCAUCCAUCAGCCAGGAUAAUCAGGCCACAAGGCACAAAGCUCACAGUGUAUCUCAGAAUUCCUUACUCAGAAUGUUGCGAGGGGCCUGGCACACACUUGGAAUCUGCUGGACUCCUCCCCAAGUCAAUCAUUUCAAACCCAUGGUUAGGGCACGUGAUCUAAGCAAGACUGUUUUAUAUGAUCUGUAAAUUAUUUAUUUGAAACGUCUCACAAAAGAAUAAAAACCAAAAUCACAGGUAGUCCCACACUUUAAAUCCCAUUUAUAUAAUGGAAUAAAGCUAUACAAAAUCA